rnacentral:rRNA from 1 species
UACGGGGGGGGGGCAAGCGUUUGUUCGGAAUUACUGGGCGUAAAGGGCUCGUAGGCGGCCAACUAAGUCAGACGUGAAAUCCCCAGGCUCAACCUGGGAACUGCGUCUGAUACUGGAUGGCUUGAAUCCGGGAGAGGGAUGCAGAAUUCCAGGUGUAGCGGUGAAAUGCGUAGAUAUCUGGAGGAAUACCGGUGGCGAAGGCGGCAUCCUGGACCGGCAUUGACGCUGAGGAGCGAAAGCUAGGGGAGCAAACGGG